rnacentral:ncRNA from 2 species
AGUAAUUAACAAGCGCCAGGACCAUAUUUUAUGGUUGACGAGGUCUAGAGUUUAUCGAAAUAUUCGGCGGAUGCUCUAGUGGCUUUAACUUAAGGUCAUAAUAUUAAUAUAAAAACUAAUAGCAAUAUUAAAACAGAAAUUAAUACAAUUAAGUAU